rnacentral:misc_RNA from 1 species
GAUGAAGAACGUAGCGAAAUGCGAUAAGUAGUGUGAAUUGCAAAUUCAGUGAAUCAUCGAGUCUUUGAACGCACAUUGCGCCCCCUGGUAUUCCGGGGGGCAUGCCUGUCCGAGCGUCAUUGCUGCCCUCAAGCACGGCUUGUGUGUUGGGCCCCGUCCUCCGAUCCCGGGGGACGGGCCCGAAAGGCAGUGGCGGCACCGCGUCCGGUCCUCGAGCGUAUGGGGCUUUGUCACCCGCUCUGUAGGCCCGGCCGGCGCUUGCCGAUCAACCCAAAUUUUUAUCCAGGUUGACCUCGGAUCAGGUAGGGAUACCCGCUGAACUUAAGCAUAUCAAUAAGCGGAGGA